UACAGAGGGUGCGAGCGUUGUUCGGAAUUAUUGGGCGUAAAGCGCAUGUAGGCGGGAUGUUAAGUCGCGUGUGAAAGCCCCAGGCUCAACCUGGGAAGUGCGCGCGAAACUGGCAACCUUGAGUGCUGGAGAGGGUGGCGGAAUUCCCGGUGUAGAGGUGAAAUUCGUAGAUAUCUGGAGGAACACCGGUGGCGAAGGCGGCAUCCUGGACCGAUAUUGACGCUGAUGCGCGAAAGCCAGGGGAGCAAACGGG
rnacentral:rRNA from 1 species